CGUGGGAUGGGGUCGCGUCCUAUCAGCUUGUUGGUGAGGUAACGGCUCACCAAGGCUUCGACGGGUAGCCGGCCUGAGAGGGCGACCGGCCACAUUGGGACUGAGAUACGGCCCAGACUCCUACGGGAGGCAGCAGUGGGGAAUAUUGCACAAUGGGCGCAAGCCUGAUGCAGCGACGCCGCGUGAGGGAUGGAGGCCUUCGGGUUGUAAACCUCUUUUGUUUGGGAGCAAGCCUUCGGGUGAGUGUACCUUUCGAAUAAGCGCCGGCUAACUACGUGCCAGCAGCCGCGGUAAUACGUAGGGCGCAAGCGUUAUCCGGAUUUAUUGGGCGUAAAGGGCUCGUAGGCGGCUCGUCGCGUCCGGUGUGAAAGUCCAUCGCUUAACGGUGGAUCUGCGCCGGGUACGGGCGGGCUGGAGUGCGGUAGGGGAGACUGGAAUUCCCGGUGUAACGGUG
rnacentral:rRNA from 1 species